UCCGAAUUGGUGUAGUGGCUAACAUUUGACGCUCUCAUUUCAACGGUUCCGUCAAGCCCGGGGUUCGAUUCCCCGAUUCGGAG